UGCAGAGGGUGCGAGCGUUAAUCGGAAUUACUGGGCGUAAAGCGUGCGUAGACGGUUAUUUAAGUCGGAUGUGAAAGCCCCGGGCUCAACCUGGGAAUUGCAUUCGAGACUGAAUAGCUAGGGUACGGUAGAGGGAAGCGGAAUUUCCGGUGUAGCGGUGAAAUGCGUAGAUAUCGGAAGGAACAUCAGUGGCGAAAGCGGACUUCCUGGACCA
rnacentral:rRNA from 1 species